UUAAGUCCUGGCUUGCAUGUGAAGACUAGCAUAUGUGAAGGAAGCUACUCAUUACCGGACGAAGAUGGUAGGCCAAGUACGCCAUUGUCUUAUUGCCUUGGAUUAUUGUCAAGGAUGUGACGUGUUUCAAUCUCAAUCCAAAGGGAAAGAGCUCCAUUGUAUACUGACUGGGAUGGGAUUGAAAAACCAGCACUAAAAUUUCUUGCUUCAAGGCAUGGAUUUUGGAAUUAUCUACAUCAUUCAUUCAAUAAAAAAGAAGAUAGAAUGGAUCCUAGCUGGACCCUGCAAACUAGCUUAAGAAAGAAGAGGCCCAGGGGACCCAAAAACAUGAGAAGCCUAGGCUAACCAGGCAACGCCGAAAAGGGAUGGCAUCGACAAGCCAGGCAACGCCGUAAUCCAAUCGUAUCCGGUGGGGGACCUCUAUAAUGUUGGCCAUGCAAGACAGAGG
rnacentral:misc_RNA from 1 species